rnacentral:rRNA from 1 species
UACGAAGGGGGCAAGCGUUGUUCGGAUUUAUUGGGCGUAAAGGGUGCGUAGGUGGUUGUACAAGUCGGAUGUGAAAACCCCUGGCUCAACCAGGGACCUGCAUUCGAAACUGUACGGCUUGAGUACAGAGGGGGUGAGUGGAAUUCUCAGUGUAGCGGUGAAAUGCGUAGAUAUUGAGAAGAACACCUGUGGCGAAAGCGGCUCACUACUCUGCUACUGACGCUGAGACGCGAAAGCGUGGGUAGCAAACAGG